rnacentral:piRNA from 1 species
UGAGUUUGCUCAAUCAGGAGCCAGCUGUG